rnacentral:rRNA from 1 species
UACGUAGGGCGCGAGCGUUGUCCGGAAUUAUUGGGCGUAAAGAGCUCGUAGGCGGCCUGUUGCGUCCGCUGUGAAAGCCCGGGGCUUAACCCCGGGUCGGCAGUGGAUACGGGCAGGCUAGAGGGAGGUAGGGGCAGACGGAACUUCCGGUGGAGCGGUGAAAUGCGUAGAUAUCGGAAGGAACGCCGGUGGCGAAAGCGGUCUGCUGGACCUCUUCUGACGCUGAGGCGCGAAAGCCAGGGGAGCAAACGGG